AGGGGGGGAAGAGUAGGGAGAAAGAAUAUACCUUUGCCAUCUCCCCGGAUCUCUGCUGCCACCCCCAAAUCUCCUCCCCACUCCCGAAUCAAAUCCCCCAUCACCUCCGCCACCUACCCCCACCGCCGCCGGGAGCAGCGAGCACGGGAGCGCGAGCGGAGCGAUGGCCGGCGCGGGGUCCUCGUCGGGCGGGUCGGGCGGCGGCGGCGGCGGGGGGAGGGAGGGCGACUGGGACUGCGGCGGCUGCGGCAACCGCAACUACGCCUUCCGCUCCCUCUGCAACCGCUGCAAGCAGCCGCGCCUCCUCGUCGACCCCAACACCCCGCGCGACUCCAAGUGGCUCCCCCGCGCCGGCGACUGGAUCUGCAACGGUUGCAGUAACAAUAAUUAUGCAUCCAGAAAGAACUGCAAGAAGUGCAACCUGCCCAAGGAGGAAGCAGCGAUGCCGCAGUUAUCAAUGGGAGGAAUGAUGCCAGCCUAUGCAGAUUAUAUGGCCAGGGUACAGGAGAUUGCCAAUGCUGGCUAUAAGAUGAACUUUGGCAAUCCAGCUAUGCAGCAGCAGCUACUUGCAAACGCAAACUGGCCCUAUGGGAUGGCUGGUAGAUAUGGUAUGCAAUCUUCUGCUUGGCCAUUCGCCGGCAACAGCACAAAUCAGUUUCAAGGUGUUCCAAAGGACUGGCGUAGUGGUGACUGGCUCUGCAGCUGUGGAUUCCAUAACUACUCAUCUCGUGCUCAGUGCAAAGAGUGUAAUGCACCUGUCCCAUCAGGCAUGGCCUCUACAACCAUGAAAUCCACAGGAGCAGAUAGUUCUUCAACAUUAGGUAAUAAGCGUUUGGCAUCAGAGGAGCUUGGUAAUGACUGGGAUAAUAAAAGGCUAAAUCCUGGAAAUGCUAAUUAUCCACUUUCAGCAGCAGGCUCAGAUAAUUUAUUUAUGGGUCAAGGUGCUGGAAACAAUAAUGGCCAGACAACUUAUUCUGCAUAUGACAAUGGAAACUCAAUGGCGUCUGGACAAAUUCCAGGGAUGUCUGGUGUAGUUGGUAAAGGAGCAAAAUGGCGUGAAGGAGACUGGUUGUGCACCAACUGCAGCAAUCAUAAUUACGCAUCUCGUGCAUUUUGUAACAGAUGCAAAACUGCGAAAGAGUCUUCGGUUCAUCCGGGUGCGCUAUAAGAAUAGCUUUGCUUGUACUUUUGCGACUAAAUUAUUAAAGCGGGCGUGGAGUCUCCUGGUUCUGCUGCGGCUGAUCGGUCGCUGCCACCGCCAGGAUUGUUGUUAUGUUUGUGGUUUGGCCCUGCAGUGCUUAUGCUGCUGUUAAAAUUGUUCUGUGUCAGAGUCUAAUAUUGUUUGUGGGAGUUUGCAUUUGUUUACGCCGAGCACUAGAAUAAAAUGUUUCCUGUAUGUCAAAGUGUACCAUCUGUUUUUGUUUUGUUUUUGUGUGUGCGUGUGCAACAAUUUGAUUGGUUCUUCAGUACCUCGACAGCUAUGAUGUAAUGUAAUGCUGGAUCUAUUUGAAGUGGCAAUGCUGGAUUUUAUUGUUUUCUGAAUCGCUUCACCUUGUAAAGAUCUGUAAUCCUGUUUCGCAGC
rnacentral:rRNA from 1 species